rnacentral:rRNA from 1 species
CCCCUAGAUGUUCUGGGCCGCACGCGCGCUACACUGAACAGUUCAACAAGUCUUAACCUUGGCCGAUAGGUCUGGGUAAUCUUUGAACGCUGUUCGUGAUUGGGAUAGACCUUUGCAAUUAUGGGUCUUCAACGAGGAAUUCCUAGUAAACGCAAGUCAUCAGCUUGCAUUGAUUACGUCCCUGCCCUUUGUACACACCGCCCGUCGCACCUACCGAUUGAAUGGUCCGGUGAAUAAUUCGGACUGCAGCACUGCUUGGUCUCCAGGCUUUGCAGCGGAAAGUUUAGUGAACCUUAUCACUUAGAGGAAGGAGAAGUCGUAACA